GGACGGCUGCCGCUGGCGGGAGACACUUUGAGCCCCCUCAUUUGAGUCCCCUCAGGACACGAAGGAACUCUGGAGAGCAGAGGAGCCAGCUGCUUCGCUCAUGACUGUAUGCCCGGCAACUGGAACCAUCCCCAUGGGGAGUGCAUGGGACUGAUGUUGAAGUCGGAGGCCGUAAUACAGCCAUGAUUACUGACCCUCACAACCUGUACAGAUAGAUGCUCUUGUCUUCACUUUGCGUCAUGAAAAAACAAGCCCAGGGAGGACAGAAGCUCACCCGAGGCCACGCAGCUGGCAGGUAGGAGCCACAGCUUUCUGCCUCCAGAGCUUGUUAAUUUAGUAUCUUUAAGGGGGUAGUCCACUGGACCGCCUCGCGGUUUGCCCUCGCAGCUCCUGCCACCCCCGCUACGCGGAGAGGCCGCACCGGACGCCCUGUUGAUAGAGUCCCCACCCGUCCACUGUGACGUCAGCGCUGCCCCCCCCUGCCUCUUCUCCCCUCCAUCCCUUCCUGUCUGUCCGCUUCCUUCUCUCCCUUCGCCCCCACCCCGCCCCCCCUCCUUCUUUUCCACGAUGCUCAGAGGAUACCUGCAGCUCCUCCUGUCUGCACCGCCCGGAGCUGAGGGCUGUCAGCCGGACAGCACGGCCCAGUUACAGUCCCUGCGCCCAACUAGGUCACAAUGGGAAGGGGGCGAGGCGGAGACAGACACCAGUUCAAAUAGCUGAAGGCAAAACAAAACAAAAAAACCUGUAAAAGAGCUUUAAAGAGAACCGGAGGAAGGGGAGACCCGAAAGCUGGGAGUCUAGGAGUGGCUGCAUGAGGUGACAGGGCUCCGGUUUCCCGCGGUCCCAUGAGCUCAGAGCUGGCGGGGCCGUGACGGCCUCACUGCUGCAGCUGCCGCGCACCACGCUGUGGGCGGGCAGGUCGCCCCACUCUGCCCGGUUAACCCAACAACGCACAGCAAAGCAGGG